CUAUCCACCAUUAUGUCCCACACAUCACGCGUGCGACUCUUCGUCCCGGGGGGUGGGGGCGCGCACGCUUUCACUUACGUCCUGCCGCGGUUACGUCAUUCUGAGCUGGGAAGAGACAGGGCGCGGGAGCGAGCAAGAGAGAGAGAGAGAGAUUGCUGGCAUGUGUCUGGCACUUCUCCCCUUCAGGACCCCAGAGACAACAGGGCGAGCUAGGUGCUUCACAAUACAGUCUGUAAAAGAUACUUGCUGGGAGGAUACCCAUUCUGUUGGAUCUUCAAGGAGGUGCCAGUGACUGAGUGAGCGUCAUUGUUCAGGCAGAUUCUCCAGCCAACCCCCUCUUAUCCCUGCUGCCAGGACUGCAUCCUUUCCUCCCCUUACCCAGAUGACCUCCCCUAGUAGGAGCAGAUGGCAUCCAUUUAGCUUCCACCACAACUUCCACCCUGCUUGGCUUGGUGUAACACCACACUCACACCCAUGGGCUCUCUUCUUGCUCUCCAGCUACACAGUGACAUUUCCCAGACGUCUGAUGGAUAUCGGACCAUGUCCUCCAGGAGACAUAUUCCAUUAUCAUGCUGCCACAGUGCUCAUCCAUAGACACAUCUCGCUUUUAAUCAAUGACCAUGCAGCACAGCAGCACAGCAGGAAAGACACACACAGCAAAACCUCCAAUUAAUAAUCAAA